rnacentral:rRNA from 1 species
UACGAAGGGGGCUAGCGUUGCUCGGAAUGACUGGGCGUAAAGGGCGCGUAGGCGGCUUGCACCGUCAGAUGUGAAAUUCCUGGGCUUAACCUGGGGGCUGCAUUUGAUACGUGUGGGCUUGAGUGCGGAAGAGGGUCGUGGAAUUCCCAGUGUAGAGGUGAAAUGCGUAGAGAUCGGAAAGAACACCAACGGCGAAAGCACUCUGCUGGGCCGACACUGACACUGAGAGACGAAAGCUAGGGGAGCGAAUGGG